rnacentral:rRNA from 1 species
CGGACGGGUGAGUAAUGUCUGGGAAACUGCCUGAUGGAGGGGGAUAACUACUGGAAACGGUAGCUAAUACCGCAUAACGUCGCAGGACCAAAGAGGGGGACCUUAGGGCCUCUUGCCAUCGGAUGUGCCCAGAUGGGAUUAGCUAGUAGGUGGGGUAACGGCUCACCUAGGCGACGAUCCCUAGCUGGUCUGAGAGGAUGACCAGCCACACUGGAACUGAGACACGGUCCAG